rnacentral:tRNA from 1 species
AGGGGUAUAACUCAGUGGUAGAGCACCUGCUUGGCUUGCACAAGGUCCUGGGUUCAAUCCCCAGUAUCUCCG